rnacentral:lncRNA from 1 species
GGAGGCAGGUUUAAAUAGAUGAUGAGGUCCAGUGCAAUAAUGACUGCAGGUCUCCUCUGGCCGAUCUAUAAUCGCUGCGUGGCCCACUCACCGUGGCAGGUAAUUGAAAGUGGCCAACAGCUGACAGAACCAUUAUUGCACCGUACCUUGAGCAACGCUCCAGCAAAAGUCUCGAAAAAAUCUUUUCAGAUCGUCUCGAUUUGAAAAGGCUCCAACACC